rnacentral:lncRNA from 1 species
AUUCUCCAGCAACGCGGUGCGGUACCGGGCUGAGUCCAAGCGCCAGGAGCCGCGGGGUCCUGGUUGCUGUUUUCCUGUGACGCUUGGCGGCGGCGGCCAGAGCGGCCCCAGCACCGUGCCCUGGGCUCACUGCGGCUCUCCUAUCACCCAGGGGUCGUCCCGGUCCGCCCGCACUCUUCUCUCCGCCCGACCCCCCUCUGGCUGCGCGUCCUCGGCUGGCUCGGGGAGGGCGCCGCUCCUCCCUGGGAGACCCCAGGGAGACCCGCCUCACGGCCUGCGCACCUCCUCUCGCUCUAAAGCGGCCGCUGGAGGAGCCACAGGUCUGGCGGGUCCAUGUCGAGGUGCCCUGGGCUCCCGCACGACCCCACGGCCUCCUGCGUCCCGCACCUCUUGUGUCCUGCAGCCGCCCGCGUCCUCUCUGGGACCCCUUCCUUCCGAGUCCGUCCACAUCCCCGGCGGUUCCUCUGAAAUCCGCACCCCCCAACCCCGGAACCUCGGCUCUUCCGCGCGCUCCUCGUCCCCGCAUCCUCAGCCCCUAGAUGUCCUCCGCAUUCCGGCCCUGAACCCGGAUGAGGCCCUGCCCAGCGCUCGGUGCUGUCCAAGGAAAAUGAGACCUCGAGGUGAAAAGCGCAGAGGCUGUGCACGCUAGGGCCAAGCGGAGGACGCGUUAUUACUGUUUUCUUCUUGAUGAUAAAACCAGGUGUUGACAAAUGCCGGAGAGAUCGGCAUUCGCAGGACGUGGGUUGAAUGUAACUUGCAUUCUUCCAGUUCGGCAAUCUCACUUCUAGAACUCUGUCCUAGGAACAUACGAGGCUAUUUCAGGAUUGCUUACAACCUGGAGGCAACCGGGAUGUGUCUGGCCACUGGAGCUAGUGGAUUUCACGCAUCCCUGCAGUGGGCAUCAAGCAGCAAAAAGAAUGUUGUGCAGCAUUCAUAAGAAGGAAGACAUUUGUAACACAUUAUGAAAAAACAUAUGUGGGCCAGGCACGGUGGCUCAUGCCUGUAAUCCCAGUACUUUAGGAGGCCGAGGCGGGAGGAUGACUUGAGGUGAGGAGUUCAAGACCAGCCUGGCCAACAUGGCGAAACCCCGUCUCUACUUAAAAAUACAAAAAUUAGCCAGGCACGCUAGCGCGCGCCUGUAUUCCCACCUACUCGGGAGGCUGAGUCAGGAGAAUCACUUGAACCCGGGAGGCGGAGGUUGCAGUGAGCCGAGAUCUCCCCACUGCACUCCAGCCUGGACGGCAGAGCGAGACUCUGUCUCAACAACAAAUGUGUGGCAUCACCUUGAUUUUCUGAAAAUAAAAAAAUUUU